UACGUAGGGUGCGAGCGUUGUCCGGAAUUACUGGGCGUAAAGAGCUCGUAGGUGGUUUGUCGCGUUGUCCGUGAAAACUCACAGCUUAACUGUGGGCGUGCGGGCGAUACGGGCAGACUGGAGUACUGCAGGGGAGACUGGAAUUCCUGGUGUAGCGGUGGAAUGCGCAGAUAUCAGGAGGAACACCGGUGGCGAAGGCGGGUCUCUGGGCAGUAACUGACGCUGAGGAGCGAAAGCGAGGGGAGCGAACAGG
rnacentral:rRNA from 1 species